UCGAUCAACAAUAGUAACUAGAUUUCGGGUCGGUGCAUAAAAUCCGUCUCGUCAAAUAACAGCGCACUUGAAAUGUGAGCUCUUAUUUUGUUUAGUUCACUUCAAACACAGCCAAUGUCAACCCGUCUCACAAUACCGCAGUGUGUAUUCAAAAGUUGCAAAAAUAAGGCCCGAAAAAGCAAUUUAACGGCCGGAGUAUCUUACUUUCGCUUUCCUAGCAAUCACGUGUGCAGAAUGGAUCUCGAUUGUCGCCAGAGAAACAAGAGAUAACUUUUAUAAGCCAGCUAAGAACUCCGCUUAUUGACACUGGACAUCUUUGCCUUCCGUGCUCACGGUUACUGAAAUGUGGCCGAAACAUUGUAAUAAAAAUACCACGCUUGAAACCGUUUAAACGUUGUUUUAUAAUGUGCACUGGUCGCGAAAACUUAAAAAUAUAUAUUACACAAAAACGUAACGCCAAUAAAAUAAUAAGUAAUGUAUAGAUACUAACAAACAUACAUUUCCAAAACAUAAAAAGUAAACAACUAAACUUUUACUUUAAUUCAUUAAUAAAUUAUUUUAGUGUUAAGCGCGACUCCCUUACCUCCUGUAGUAAAUAGAAAUCGGCAUUUCAAGAA